rnacentral:rRNA from 1 species
UGGGGAAUUUUGGACAAUGGGCGAAAGCCUGAUCCAGCAAUGCCGCGUGUGUGAAGAAGGCCUUCGGGUUGUAAAGCACUUUUGUCCGGAAAGAAAUGGCUCUGGUUAAUACCUGGGGUCGAUGACGGUACCGGAAGAAUAAGGACCGGCUAACUACGUGCCAGCAGCCGCGGUAAUACGUAGGGUCCAAGCGUUAAUCGGAAUUACUGGGCGUAAAGCGUGCGCAGGCGGUUGUGCAAGACCGAUGUGAAAUCCCCGAGCUUAACUUGGGAAUUGCAUUGGUGGCUGCACGGCUAGAGUGUGUCAGAGGGGGGUAGAAUUCCACGUGUAGCAGUGAAAUUCGUAGAGAUGUGGAGGAAUACCGAUGGCGAAGGCAGCCCCCUGGGAUAACACUGACGCUCAUGCACGAAAGCGUGGGGAGCAAACAGG